GGAGAGUUGACCGAGUGGCUAAGGAGCUCGCCUGGAAAGCGAGUAAGGCUGUAAGGCCCCGUGGGUUCGAGUCCCAUGCUCUCCGCCA
rnacentral:tRNA from 1 species